rnacentral:lncRNA from 1 species
GAUGAUGGAUUAACAUUUUCUACCUGAAGAAAGAUUUCUUUUUUUUCUUUGAGGAUGAUUUUUUUUUCUUCUAGCUUGUGUUGUCGGAGGACGACUGUUCAUGAUGAGGAGGUAAGGACAGCGAUUUUGAGAAAAAGAAAAAGGAAAUUAGGGUUGAGAGGAGAGACCAACAUAAAUAUAUAGAGAAAUGGUUGAUUCUUUUAGAUCUAGACCAUCAAUUACUUUUUUACUUCAUCUAGACUAUUGAAUGGAAUUAAAAUCCUAACAACAAUCACUUUGCC